UACGGAAGGGGCAAGCGUUGUUCGGAAUCAUUGGGCGUAAAGGGCGUGUAGGUGGUUCUGUAUGUCUACCGUGAAAGCGUACGGCUCAACCGUAUUUAGUCGGUAGAAACUGCAGGACUUGAGGCUGGGAGGGGCUGGUGGAAUUCCCCGUGUAGCGGUGAAAUGCGCAGAUAUCGGGAAGAACACCCGUGGCGAAGGCGGCUCUCUGGGACGGUACUGACGCUGAGACGCGAAAGCGUGGGGAGCGAACAGG
rnacentral:rRNA from 1 species